GAUCCCAUCCCGAACUCAGAAGUGAAACGAUGCAUCGCCGAUGGUAGUGUGGGGUUUCCCCAUGUGAGAGUAGGUCAUCGUCAAGA
rnacentral:rRNA from 3 species